CUUGGGCAGGUUUUAGGGUUCCGUAGCCAAAUAGCAAAAAAUGGAACUCUUUUAGCUUCGUCAUGUCCGUCUGUCCGUAUCACUCACAGCCACUUUUUUCCGAAACUAUAAGAACUAUACUGUUGAAACUUGGUAAGUAGAUGUAUUCUGUGAACCGCAUUAAGAUUUUCACACAAAAAUAGAAAAUAUAAACAAUAAAUUUUGGGGGUUCCCCAUACUUAGAACUGAAACUCAAAUUUUUUUUUUCAUUAUAACCAUACGUGUCAUACGUGUGGGGUAUCUAUGGAUAGGUCUUCAAAAAUGAUAUUGAGGUUUCUAAUAUUUUUUUAUUCUAAACUGAAUAGUUUGCGCGAGAGACACUUCCAAAGUGGUAAAAUGUGUGUCCCCCCGCCCCCCUGUAACUUCUAAAAUAAGAGAAUGAUAAAACUAAAAAAAAUAUAUUAUGAUGUACAUUCCCAUGCAAACUUCCACCGAAAAUUGGUUUGAACGAGAUCUAGUAAGUAGUUUUUUUUAUACGUCACAAA